AACUCUUUUGGGAGCAGCAGAGCUUCAUGCUAAGAAAGAGUGUAUACCAACAUAUCCUGUGUGGUGUAUAUCUUUUUGUGUCGACACUUGGCAAAGUAUAUAGCAGCACAGUCAAUCACAUUUGAAAGCCCCCACUCGGUCGAUCCUUAUCAGUUGGUGCCGUGACUCCUUGCCGAACCGAGGGAGGGUGAAAUUGUUCCCAGGACCACACUCGCGGGAAGACCAAGUCUGGGGGAGCGACAGCUUUGACCAUCCGGAGGAAUCUGGGGCCGCUCAAAGGGCUUGAUCAACCCUACAGAACGAGAGCAACAAUGAUCAGUGUUAUAGGUGCUUCAUUGCUCUAGACUGCCAUGGUUAAAUGGAGAACCGACUGGACGGCGAGGAGGCAGUCUCCUCGGCUCCAGCUUAGCUGCGGUCACGUGUCUCCGACGUCACACCGACGCAGGACGCGGCAGGAUUAACCAGCUGCAACAGAUUUGGACCUCUGUAUUGAUCGGGCUCACCGUCUCCCCAGACCUCAAAGGCUGCCGCUUGCUACUGCUCGGGAUACAAUACAGCAACAAUGAUUCGUAGAAGGGAGUUCUCGGAAGGUACCAAAAUCCUUAGGGAAGAUGCAAAUCAAUACAGAUGGGGAUUUCCCGUUAAAGUACUCCUAUCAUACAAAGGAACUAAAUAUGCGGCUGAAACGCCUAAGGAUCUCUUAUGCUUAUGUCAAGCUUGGGAGCUACCAGGGACACCCCCUCCAGAAAGCCCAAGAGAAAUCCAGAAAAAUCGCUCAAGAGUGGGGAAAAAGGAAAUGAUGAUGGAUAUUAAGCUAUGACUGCAUUUGAAUAUUGGUUAAAUUGACGCUUGGUUACGGGAAUUUUUUUUUUCUUUUUUCUUUUUCCUUUUUUAUUUUUAUUUAAGCCCUAAAUUACCUAAUGCUGGAAUUUUUCCUUUUUUUUUUGUGGUCAUGAUAUAUUGUAUUAGCAAUAUUCUUUUUGUCUUUUCAAUUUUGCUAAUAUGCCCCGAAGGAGAAGCCCAGGAAGUAAUCGUAUGGGCUGGGUAUGAAUAUAAGGGAAUUGAAGAGAGAGUAGUUAUAUUUUUUCCUUUUCCUAGCGUGAAUGGCUGUGAAUGUGGUGUUAAUAGAGGCUGUAUAGGUAAUAGGGACAAUUUGUUGGGAGUGUUUUUUGGCAGUAUAAAAAAACCUUUGUGCGACCUGAUUCAAUUAACAUCAUGGAGGGUCACGUAGUGUCUAUUAACUGUAAAGGAUUAAAUUCUCCAUAUAAAAGAUCAAGGAUGUGGGCUGAAGCAGGCCGCACAAAAGCUGAUAUAUUAUGUCUCCAAGAGACUAAUUUGAAAGAAUCGGACAAAUUUUGAUAAAAAAAAAUAGAUAUUUUCCCCAUGUUUUUGUAGCCCCAGCUCCUGGGAAAAAAGCUGGGGUCGCUUUAUUAAUAAGAAACUCAGUGAUAUUUACUGAACUACAGUCAAAAAUUUACCCUAAGGGUAGGUUUGUAAGCUUAUUCUGUAAAAUUAAUAAUCAAAAUUACACUAUUAGAGUAUAUGCCCCAAAUAAAAAUCAAACUAAGUUUUUUGGUUCAUUAAUAGCAAAAAACUCCUUUAAUCCCAAAGAGAGGGUAAUCAUUUUAGGGGAUUUUAAUUUAACAAUGUGGCAGUCAAUGGACUCAACCUCUAGCAGGAAAAUUACUGAACCAACGAGUCUGUUUCAAAUUACUUCCCGGUGUGGACUCUGAUGUGUGGAGAAUACAACAUCCGACUGAAAAAGACUAUUCUUUUUACUCCCACCGUCAUGGAGUCUACACCAGAAUUGAUUAUAUCUUGGUUACAGAGCCAUUGUUGGGUUUGACAGAGAGCUCAUCGAUGGGCACAAUAACCUGGACAGAUCAUGCCCCGGUGGUGGUGUCCUUUCGGGACUCUUUAGUAAACAAUAGGCCGGCUUUAUGGAGGGCACCCCCACAUAUAAUACUAAAUGCAGAUCUUAAGGAUAAAUUAGCCUAGGAAAUACAGCAGUAUUUUCAUUAUAAUGACGGAACAGUACAAUCAUGUUUUACCCUAUGGUGUGCCUUUAAGGCCAAUAUAAGAGGCCAUAUAAUUAGUCAAACAGCAUAUAAGAAUAAACAAACACAAGUAAAAAGAAUAAAAAUACAAGAAGAAAUAGCUCAUCUGCAUAGACAGAAUAGCUGCAGCCCUUCACCUGACUUGCUUGAUCGCUUAUCAUCAUUGGGUCGAGAGUUGCAUUUGUUGGAUUUAUACAAAUAUGAAUCAGCCAUGAGGCGGCUUAACCUGCAACACUAUGGGCAAUCAAAUAAAUCAGGAGUUUACCUAGCACGCUAAUUGAAAGUUAAACAUAAUAAAUCAAAAAUAGCCUAUUUAGAAAAUGUAGAUGGAACUAAAAUUGUUAAUCCCCAGGCAAUAGCAGACUCCUUUUCCACUUUUUAUUCUAAAUUGUAUAACAUUUCAAGUGAUCCUAAUAUAUGUCAACCAACUCCCGAAUCAAUUGAGUCAUUUUUAUCACCAUUAUUACCACCAAAGUUAUCACUAGAACAAAUAGUAGUCCUCGAGGAAGACAUAACGGAAACAGAAAUAAUAUGCACAAUCAAAACUCUUAAAGGUCGGAAAGCCCCAGGCCCAGAUGGAUUGAUUAACGAAUUCUGUAAGUCUCAUGUAGACUUAAUAGUGCCAUAUCUUACAAGGUUAUUUAGAGGAAUCCAGUUGAAAGGAAUUAUACCAGCAGAAAUGCUGGAGGCUGUAGUGAUCACUAUACCAAAUCCAGGGAAGUCUUUAAUAAGGGUAGAAAACUAUAGACCAAUCUCGUUGUUAAAUACGGAUCUUAAAAUUUAUGCUAAGGUUCUGGCGGCUAGACUAGCUGAGGUGUUACCAGUUAUAAUACACCCUGAUAAAGUCGGUUUUGUUAAGGGGCAGCAGACAUAUGAGGGAACACGAAGAUUUGUGAAUGUGAUUGCGCAGGCGGGACUUGGUCUGAUGCCUUCUCUCUUAUUGUCUCUUGACGCUGAGAAGGCAUUCGACCGGGUCAAUUAGGAUUAUUUGAGGGAAGUUUUGGGUAAAUACGGACUUCCUAAAUGUUUUGUUGGCUCAGUUAUCGCAAUGUAUUCAGAGCCAUCAGCACGCGUUUAUGUAGAAGGAGCUAUCUCAAAAAUUUUUUACAUAUAUAACGGUACCCGCCAAGGUUGUCCUAUUUCACCCUUAUUAUUUACUAUCAGUAUUGAACCAUUGGCGGAAAUGAUACGAACAUCAUCUUUAAUCUCAGGAGUAAAGAUAGCAUCUAUUGAACAUAAAAUAGGUCUAUAUGCCGAUGACGUGCUGAUGGCACUGACUUCAGUACAAAGCUCUCAGCUGUGAUUGACAUUAUUCAAUCCUACUCAGAAGUUAGCUACUACAAAGUUAAUUUUGAUAAAUCAACAAUACUACCCAUUAUUAUGGAGCCACAUAUAGAACACCAAUUAAGGAGUUCAUAUACACUAAACUGGGCUAAUGAAAAUAUUACAUAUUUGGGGAUAAGAUUGUGUUCGGAUCUGAAUCAUUUAUCUACUCAGAAUUUGAAUCCAUUAAUCCUAAAUAUAAAGGAGAUUUUGGAGACAUACUCCAAAUGACCUUGGUCCUGGAUAGGCCGAAUAGCGGCAGUAAAAAUGUUUAUACUGCCGAAAGUAAUAUAUCUGUUUCAAAAUUUGCCGAUUAAUUACUCAUUAGGUAGUAUAAAACAGUUACAAAAUAUAGUCUUGAGGUACAUUUGGAAAAUAGGUAAACACAGUAAGAGCAAGUACGUUAUACGCACCUAUAAGUGAGGGGGGAAUGGGGUGCCCGGACUUUAAAAUAUAUUACGAUGCCAUAAUACUUAAUCAGUUAAAAUUUUGGUGGCAUGAUAAACAAGAUAAAAAUUGGGUAUUAUCGGAGGCAAGCCAAUUGAAAAUACCAACUAAUGUUAUAUUAUGGACCGCAGCGAUCUCUAAAAGGUCCUAUCACCGUCCAUUCUCCCACUAUCAAAGCAGGUAUUAAAACAUGGAAAGGUUUGGUUAGUAAAGGGUUUAUAAAUGUUAUAACCUAAUCUGCAACACCACUGGAAGCCAUAGAAUACUUGCUCCCUCAUUUAAACCUUGAGGAAUGGAAGAAUAGUGGUAUAAAAAAACUUAUCUGAUAUUGAGAAACAAGGUACCUUAAUGAGUUUUGGCGAAAUUUGUGCUAGAUUUAAUGUUUCUUCAAAAGAUUUUUUUAAAUACUUACAAUUAAGACACCUUUUGGUCUCCCUUAAAUGGCACAAACAAGAGAUAAUUUCACCAUACGAAAUCUACUUCCAAAAUAUUGAACGCAGAGAAAAGGGAAUAUCCCUAGCGUAUAAACAUCUAAUCAAUUUUAAAAAUCAUUUUCCGCUUUACUCUCAAAAAAAUGGGAAGAGGAUCUAGGUCAAUUAUUUUCUCGGGAAGACUGGGAGUUUGCGUUCACCUUACCAUUUAAAGUAUCUCACUGUACUAAUCAUUUCGAUAUUUCUAGGAAGUUAUUAUAUAGAUGGCAUUGGGUGCCCGUACAAUUAAACCGCAUUUCACCCCAAAUGUCAAAGUAUUGUUGGAGAUGUAAAACAGCAAUAGGUUCACUAUAUCAUGUAUGGUGGGACUGUCCAGUAGUUCAAAAAUAUUGGAGUCAAAUUCUGAGUUUGAUAAAUAGAAUAGUAAAUCGCAAUGUUAGGUGGGGCCCAGAAAUUGCACUACUCACAACAAAAACACUGCUAAUCUCGGAAUUAACUAUAACAACACACAUUAUUUGUAGCUCGCACUCAAAUUGCCAGUAAAUGGAAGACAGAGGAAAUUUCAGAUAUCUUGGAACUUCGGAACAUAGUACAGAGAAACUAUACAAUGGAGGGGUUGAUAGCGCAAAGUAAUUUGGAGAGUAAAAAACAUGAAGAAAAAUGGAGAUUAUGGAAAGUAUUUAGAGGUGAACUGCCGUGAAUAAGUUAACAGAUUAAUUUGUACUGCCUUGUUAUAUAAAAUGCUAUGUAAUGUUCAAAUGUCCCAAUUAUAUAAGGAAUCUGUAGGUAUGAGAGGACCGAAUGAAUGUGGUUAUGAUUUAUUUAAUGUUUUCUUUCUAUGUAUUUUGGCUACCAUCUUCAGGAAUUAUGAGGAAGAAUAAUGUUUGUUCUGUAUUGUUUCUGAAAUCUAAUAAAAUAAAAAAAGAUUCACAUAAAAAAAAAAUACCACCCAGCCCUAGCAGGGCCACAGCGGGUCGGGCCCAGCCUCUAACAACGGCCGGGACCUGAGGCUAAUAGCGCUGGGCUAAAGUGAAAGUAAACUACCCCCGGCUAUUUUAGCGGGCUGUUCAGGAACACCGCAGUGAAAUCGCAGCAUCCCGAACAGUUGUAGGAGAGCAGGAGGGUCCCUUACCUUGCCUCCUGGUGUCCGAUCGCCGAUUAACUGCUCAGUGCCUGAGAUCCAGGCAUGAGUAAUCAAGCGGCAGAAUCAUCUAUCAAUAGUUUCCUAUGAGAAACCAGUGAUCAAUGUAAAAUAUCAGUGUGUGCAGUGUUCUAGCCCCCUAUUGGGGCUACAACAUUGCAAAAAAAAAGUUAAAAAAAAAAGCUAAAGAUCAUUUAACCCCUUCCUUAAAGAAGAAGUAUCAUGGACCAAGUCACAAUUUUUUUUUUCUAUCAUGUGAAAGUGCCUCAGCUCACCAUUCUGACAAUCUGCUCCUCAUGUAUCUCACCCUCUCCCUUCUCCUGCAAUCCCCUCUGAAAGAUCGGUACUUCCUGGUCCAUGGAGGUCCCUGACUUCCUCUCUCCCAUAAUGCCUUUCAGUUCAUCAUAGAAGUAGCCCAGCCUAGGCCAGUGCUUCCUAACCAGGGUGCCUCCAGCUGUUGUGAAACUACAACUCCCAGCAUGCCUGGGAGUUUUAGUUUUGCAACAGCUGGAGGCACCCUGGUUGGGCUACACUGACCUAGACACUGAUCACUUUCCUAACAGCAGGCUCAGUGUUUCCCCUCCCCCUGCUUCUAUUCUUAGGACAUCAUUCUUUCAGACUGACCUGCUGUCAGAUUGUAAUCAGUGCAGGGGAAAGCAGGGAUCUCCCCCUCUGCUUCUUCUUGGGACAUCGUUCUUGCUCUUAUAAACACUGAGCUGGCUGUCAGGUGCUUCCCUGCCAAGGAGAUGAAGACAAGUGCUCAGCUCACUGGGGCUUCUAUGAUUGGCUGAAGCUGCACAUGGGAGGUUCCCUUGCCGUGCACAGAGCUGGCUAAGCUGCAGAACUAUGGGAAAUUGUGACAUCACGGCCCCCAGCAUAAUGCAGCUCAAUGGGGGGUCGCAAGUCAUCAGAACAGGGAGCUGCUGAACUUCCUCUCUGAACAAAGAAGCUAAAAAAACAGGUUUUACUUACAAGAUGGGUGAAGUCAGUGAUUUACAAAGUGAUAUAACUUUUGCUUCUGCAUUUAAAACACAAUACUUUUUCUACAUGGGACUUCUCCUUUAAUAAAAGUUUGAAUCAUCCCUUUUCCCCCCCCAAAAAAAACUGUAAAUAAAAUCAUC